UUUCUUCUUCCUCUGCUCUCACUAUCCGGCCUUUCUUCCCAGCGAUUCACUGGUCACUCGAUCCAUCAUCUUCACCGCUGCAUCAUCUUCUCUUAUUUAAGCGAAAAUUGGUAAAUGGGGAUGUCUUUGGCUGCAAGCAAAUUGAUUCUAAAGUCUUUUGUUGGUUUCUAAGGAAGUAACAAUGGUAUGUCAAGUUUCAAGAGGCAAAAUGAAAGGUUUGUAUUAUUAAAAAUAUAAGUGAAAAAACAACAAUGAUGGUCUAAUGACGUGACGAGAUUUAGGGUAUAUGGUUAAGUAGAUGUUAACUCGCUUCUUGAUGUUGAAGUUAGUCUGUACGUACAGACAUAUAAGUUGAAGAUUACCUAACUUUUUUGUUUGGAUCUAUGUACGGACAAGGAUAGAAAUAUGCGAAAGCUUCUUCUUUAGGUCUACCUAUGUAGGAUCAGAUUCUUAAGGCUUAUAUUAUUCCAUUAUAUCUUGAUGAAAAGUAGGAAUAUAUACUUUAUAGUUUAAACACUAUCUACCUCUGAUGCCCUUAAUGUUUUAAGGAAUAUAUACUUUACAAUUUGACCAUCAAAUUGCUCACUAUUGGUAAUUCACUAAUUUGGUUCAGUUUUAUUUGACUAGAUGGUUGAACUGAUUGGGUUAGGUAACAUGUCAAAACGGUUCUAAACGAAAAAACGGCAGCUAUCUAAUGUGGGUUUUCUAAACCAAAAAAUUUGUAGUUUAUAGUUUUCGAAUGUACAAAAUGCAUUAAGACCGUAAACAACCAUAAUUCCGCUGACUAUAAACAACCUAGAUAUUGCCGCCGCAACGCGCGGCAUCUGGCACCAUCCUAGUAUACUAAUAUAGGGUAAGGAUAGUGUAAAAAGGGUCUAAAGUGUGAGAAGUGUAUUAUAACACUAUAUAUAACACUAUAUAACACCAU
rnacentral:lncRNA from 1 species